rnacentral:rRNA from 1 species
AGAGACAGCAGCAGCCGCGGGAAUACAGAGGGUGCGAGCGUUAAUCGGAUUUACUGGGCGUAAAGCGUGCGUAGGCGGCUUCUUAAGUCGGAUGUGAAAUCCCUGAGCUUAACUUAGGAAUUGCAUUCGAUACUGGGAAGCUAGAGUAUGGGAGAGGAUGGUAGAAUUCCAGGUGUAGCGGUGAAAUGCGUAGAGAUCUGGAGGAAUACCGAUGGCGAAGGCAGCCAUCUGGCCUAAUACUGACGCUGAGGUACGAAAGCAUGGGGAGCAAACAGGAUUAGAUACCCCGGUAGUCCCUGUCUCUUAUAC